rnacentral:rRNA from 1 species
UACAGAGGUCUCAAGCGUUUGUUCGGAUUCAUUGGGCGUAAAGGGUGCGUAGGCGGCGCGGUAAGUCGGGUGUGAAAUCUCGGAGCUUAACUCCGAAACUGCAUUCGAUACUGCCGUGCUUGAGGACUGGAGAGGAGACUGGAAUUUACGGUGUAGCGGUGAAAUGCGUAGAUAUCGUAAGGAAGACCAGUGGCGAAGGCGGGUCUCUGGACAGUUCCUGACGCUGAGGCACGAAGGUCAGGGGGAGCAAAACGGG